rnacentral:rRNA from 1 species
AAGUCGUAACAAGGUUUCCGUAGGUGAACCUGCGGAAGGAUCAUUAUUGAAUGUUGGUCGGCGGGUAGAGAACCCUGCCGACCCGACCCCUCCCUCUACACCGUGAACAGUGAUAUCUACCACGUCAACGAAUGUGUACGACUGCACUGUGCAGUCCGUAACAAAACACAACUUUUAGCAACGGAUCUCUUGGCUCUCGCAUCGAUGAAGAACGCAGCGAAAUGCGAUAAGUAAUGUGAAUUGCAGAAUUCAGUGAAUCAUCGAAUCUUUGAACGCACCUUGCACCCUUUGGUAUUCCAAAGGGUAUGCCUGUUUGAGUGUCUUGACAUCCUCAACAUCGACUCUGGUCGGGUGGUUGGUCGUGAGUGCUGCGGGCGCAAGCCGGCUCGCUUUAAACGGAUGAGUGGUCUGGCAUGUGUCCUUUCAAGCGUGAUAACUAUUUCGUUUGGCGCGCGUGUCGAGACGGCUUUCGAACCUGUACGCUUGGGGGGAAGAGAGAGAGAGACCCCUUGAGCUUUUUACACACAGACCUCAAAUCAGGUAGGACUACCCGCUGAACUUAAGCAUAUCAAUAAGCGGAGGAAAAGAAACUAACAAGGAUUCCCCUAGUAACGGCGAGUGAAGCGGGAAGAGCUCAAAUUUGAAAUCUCACUGCCAGUGGGCAGUGCGAGUUGUAAACUAGAGAAGUGUUUUCCGUGCUGGCCCUGGUCCAAGUCCCUUGGAAUAGGGCGUCAUAGAGGGUGAGAAUCCCGUACUUGGCCAGGUCUACCAGUGCAUUGCGAUACACUUUCAAAGAGUCGAGUUGUUUGGGAAUGCAGCUCCAAAUGGGUGGUAAAUUCCAUCUAAAGCUAAAUAUUGGCGAGAGACCGAUAGCGAACAAGUACCGUGAGGGAAAGAUGAAAAGCACUUUGAAAAGAGAGUGAAACAGUACGUGAAAUUGCUAAAAGGGAAACGCUUGAAGUCAGUCGCGCUGUGUCGGGACCGGUGUUUCGGCAUCGGACGCGCGCAGCGGGUCAGCAUCAGUUUGGGCCCCGUGGGAUAAAGGCCGGCGGAAGGUGGCUCGGUGUUCGCUUUGCGGCGGACCCGAGUGUUUAUAGCCGCCGGUCGGAUGGCACGGGCUGGACUGAGGAAUGCAGCACGCCUCUCUCUCUGGGGGGAGGCUCGGGCGGUUCGCGCCGCCACGAGAAUGUUCGUGCUUAGGAUGCUGGCAGAAUGGCUUUAAACGACC